AACGAACGCUGGCGGCAUGCCUAACACAUGCCAGUCGAACGAGACCUUCGGGUCUAGUGGCGAACGGGUGCGUAACCCGUGGGAACCUGCCCCUAGGUUCGGAAUAACUCCCCGAAAGGGGUGCUAAUACCGGAUAAUGUCUUCUGACCAAAGAUUUAUCGCCUUUGGAUGGGCCCGCGUUGGAUUAGCUAGUUGGUAGGGUAAAAGCCUACCAAGGCGACGAUCCAUAGCUGGUCUGAGAGGAUGAUCAGCCACACUGGGACUCAGACACGGCCCAGACUCCUACGGGAGGAAGCAGUGGGGAAUAAUGGACGAUGGGCGAAAGCCUGAUCCAGCAAUGCCGCGUGAGUGAUGAAGGCCUUAGGGUUGUAAAGCUCUUUUACCCAGGAUGAUAAUGACAGUACCGGGAGAAUAAGCUCCGGCUAACUCCGUG
rnacentral:rRNA from 1 species